CUCCAGACUCCUACGGGAGGCAGCAGUGGGGGAUAUUGCACAAUGGGGGGAACCCUGAUGCAGCGACGCCGCGUGGGUGAAGAAGCGCCUCGGCGCGUAAAGCCCUGUCAGCAGGGAAGAAAAUGACGGUACCUGAAGAAGAAGCCCCGGCUAACUACGUGCCAGCAGCCGCGGUAAUACGUAUGGUGCAAGCGUUAUCCGGAUUUACUGGGUGUAAAGGGAGCGCAGGCGGUUCUGCAAGUCUGAUGUGAAAGCCCGGGGCUCAACCGCGGGACUGCAUUGGAAACUGCAGGACUGGAGUGUCGGAGGGGUAAGCGGAAUUCCUGGUGUAGCGGUGAAAUGCGUAGAUAUCAGGAGGAACACCGGUGGCGAAGGCGGCUUACUGGACGAUGACUGACGCUGAGGCUCGAAAGCGUGGGGAGCAAACAGGAUUAGAUACCCCCGUA
rnacentral:rRNA from 1 species